ACGAGUGGCGGACGGGUGAGUAAUGUCUGGGAAACUGCCCGAUGGAGGGGGAUAACUACUGGAAACGGUAGCUAAUACCGCAUAACGUCGCAAGACCAAAGAGGGGGACCUUCGGGCCUCUUGCCAUCGGAUGUGCCCAGAUGGGAUUAGCUAGUAGGUGGGGUAAAGGCUCACCUAGGCGACGAUCCCUAGCUGGUCUGAGAGGAUGACCAGCCACACUGGAACUGAGACACGGUCCAGACUCCUACGGGAGGCAGCUG
rnacentral:rRNA from 1 species